UACGUAGGGGGCAAGCGUUGUCCGGAUUUAUUGGGCGUAAAGAGCGUGUAGGCGGUUCGGUAGGUCCGUUGUGAAAACUCGAGGCUCAACCUCGAGACGCCGAUGGAAACCCUCGGACUAGAGUCCGGAAGAGGAGAAUGGAAUUCCUGGUGUAGCGGUGAAAUGCGCAGAUAUCAGGAAGAACACCCGUGGCUAAGGCGGUUCUCUAGUACGGUACUGACGCUGAGACGCGAAAGCGUGGGGAGCGAACAGG
rnacentral:rRNA from 1 species